rnacentral:rRNA from 1 species
AUUGAACGCUGGCGGCAGGCCUAACACAUGCAAGUCGAGCGAGCGGCGGAUGGGUGAGGAAUGUAUGGGGAUCUGCCCGCUAGAGGGGGAUAACUACUGGAAACGGUGGCUAAUACCGCAUACUUGUGGAUGAACCCUUAUGGGAUUAGCUAGUAGGUGGGGUAAAGGCUCACCUGGGCGACGAUCUCUAGCUGGUCUGAUAGGAUGAUCAGCCACACUGGGACUGAGACACGGCCCAGACUCCUACGGGAGGCAGCAGUGGGGAAUAUUGCGCAAUGGGCGCAAGCCUGAUGCAGCCAUGCCGCGUGUAUGAAGAAGGCCUUAGGGUUGUAAAGUACUUUCAGCGGGGAGGCGUUACCCGCAGAAGAAGCACCGGCUAACUCCGGGCCAGCAGCCGCGGUAAUUC